GACGAACGCUGGCGGCGUGCCUAAUACAUGCAAGUAGAACGCUGAAGGAGGAGCUUGCUUCUCUGGAUGAGUUGCGAACGGGUGAGUAACGCGUAGGUAACCUGCCUGGUAGCGGGGGAUAACUAUUGGAAACGAUAGCUAAUACCGCAUAAUAGCAGUUGUUGCAUGACAACUGUUUGAAAGGUGCAAUUGCACCACUACCAGAUGGACCUGCGUUGUAUUAGCUAGUUGGUGGGGUAACGGCUCACCAAGGCGACGAUACAUAGCCGACCUGAGAGGGUGAUCGGCCACACUGGGACUGGGACACGGCCCAGACUCCUACGGGAGGCAGCAGUAGGGAAUCUUCGGAAAUGGACGGAAGUCUGACCGAGCAACGCCGCGUGAGAGAAGAAGGUUUUCGGAUCGUAAAGCUCUGUUGUAAGAGAAGAAAGAGUGUGAGAGUGGAAAGUUCACACUGUGACGGUAUCUUACCAGAAAGAGACGGCUAACUACGUG
rnacentral:rRNA from 1 species